rnacentral:lncRNA from 1 species
UAAACUUCAUCAAGCCAGUGACGUCAUUAUUUAGCAUGCACAGUGACUUUAUAUUUUGGUGCACGCUAUUUUCUUACGUUUUACGUUUGUUUGAUAGAACAAUAUUUGUUAUUAAAGGAAGGGGAAUUAAAGCCGAACCAUUCAGAUGUUUCAAACUUAAUUGUAAUAAAUUAAUGUGUGUAUAAAAGUAUAAUAUUCAGGUUAACAAAAUAAAUAUUUAGUUGACAUGACAUGUACAAAA